rnacentral:lncRNA from 1 species
GCUGUGUCUGCGAUCUUCACCAGAGCUCAUGGCAAUGUUGGAUCCUUAACCCACUGAGCGGCCAGGGAUCGAACCUGAAUCCUCAUGGAUACUUAGUCAGGUUCAUUACUCCUGAGCCACAGCAGAAACUCCUGUCAGAUAUCUAAGUUUUCUAAAUAAUGGAUUUCAACCUUAUGGACACUCAAGGCUCUUGCCCAAACUGCCACAUUUUGGACCUCUGAGCAAGUUUUGGGGAGCAGAAUAGUGAGUGUGAGUCUCAUAUUUAGGGUCUCCCCAUUGCUUCUUGUGUGAGGCAAACUUUAGGCCCUUGAUAGAAUUUUUUUUUUAUUAGCUACUGAUUCUUUUGUUUUUAUUGAGGUGUAAUUGAUUUAUAAUAUUGUGUUUGUUUCAGGUGUACAGCAUAGUAAUUCAGUUAUAUGUAUAACUGAAUUUUAGAUUCAGAUUUUUUUUCAGAUUCUUUUCCCUUAUAGGCUAUUACAAAAUUUGAAUAUAGUUCCCUGUGCUAUAUGGUAGGUCCUUGUUGGUUAUCUAUUUUAUGUAUAAUAGUGUAUAUAUGUUAAUUCCAAACUUGUAAUUUAUCCUCUCCCUUUUAAUAUUAGAUCCUAGACAUGCCAUUUCCCAUGGCAAAAUUAAGAAAUAAAUGAAGUUGGAUUUUAAUGCCGCCUGGCUGAAUACUUAACACUGCUAUCUGCUUACACUGACAGAUUCUAACCAUGGGUCUUUAUACUUAAAAUUAAGGCAUCAGGGACAGGUGUAGGGAGAGAGCGUGGUGAUUAGGGUGAAUUUCCUGGUGUCUCCAAAUCUUAUCACUCUUUUUGCCUUCAGUAAAGACUGGUCUGGUUCUUACAUGAUGUUGUUAUAAUUGUUUAGGAUAAAGGUAAGGAACAGAUCUCUCCAUCAAGAAAUCCUAGAAUGUUAGAGGUAUCAGAGGUUGGAGCCACUACGUAACCUAACUCCAGCAAGGUUAAGCUGGGGAGACAUUAUAGCUGGGUCUCUUUUUCAGUCCUGUGCUUGUAAUUACUAUACCACACAGCUGCUUCCAAAGGUUCUUAUGCAGCUAGGUAUUUUAUUUUGGUCCCCUUUAUUCUGAAUACAAGGAAACCAUAGCCCUCAGGACUCAGGUGUUGGGCUGGGUUGAAGAGUUGUGAAAAUAAUGGAUCUAGCAUCUCCUGUCAUCUGACCAUCCUGAAGUCUUCUUUCUAACUUAGGGGGUAUGUUUUCUGACCAGACAGUGGCUGGCUUGCAUGAAGGACACUGGCUCCUGUUAUUGCUGACCCUACUCAUUUGCUUAAGAAUUAAAUGACUGAGAAAGUGAAGCACCACAAUGUAUAUUAAUAAGGAAUGUUACAGUUACUGGGAAAUCAGGCUCAUGAUCCCUAUCCAUUUACUCCCUGAGACUCACGUUCUCUUGACUUUCAGCCUGUAAAACAGAGAGGGAUUUGACCAAGACCAGAAAAGUAGUCAGGAUUUCUUAGUAUCAUCUUAGGAGUUUGGGCUGUGACUCAUUGCGUUAAAAACCUGACAGAGUAUCCAUGAGGAUGUGGGUUUGAUCCCUAUCCUCCCUCAGUGGAUUAAGGAUCUGGUGUUGGCGCAAGCUGGCGUAGGUUACAGAUGCAGCUUGGGUCACACAUUGCUGUGGCUGUGGCAUAGGUCUCAGUUGCAGCUUGUAUUCAACCAUAUAUCGAAAGUGUAGCUAAAAAAAAAAAGAACCAAGUGUCAUCUUAUAUCACACAACUUUGAAUAAAUUUCUUCCCUAGUAUCUCCCUUUUUUUUUUUUUUUUCCUGUGCUAACAAAAGCUAUCAGGUUAGAGUUAUCUCUAGGGAUUAGUGUGUAUAAUAAUCAACACAAAUCUGUAAAAUCUUUUGAAAAAGAGGUUUUAUAUUACAAAUGUCAAUUGAUGCUGAUUUCUUGGGUCCUAUACAAAAGGGCCCUUGAUCUAGUAAUCAGGACCAUUUUAAGCUCAGUUUACUUUUUUUUAGUAAGUUCUUUGCCCACUUGUUUUUCUUUCCUGUUUCUUUCUUCCUUUGAUUUUCUACUGUACUAAAGCCUACAGCCUCAAAACUGGGAGGGAAGAUUGUUCAUGGUUAUCUCUGUAGCACUUAUUGGAGCGUGUUUUCAAAAAAUUCAAAUUCAAUGCUUUUAAGACAGACAUGCAUCACCUACUUACCAAAUACUCCCCACUCCAUCAGAACUUUUCCUCUCUUCUGUAUAGUCAUUAUAGGAUUCUGUAAGUUUUUAAGUCUGUGACUCCAUGCCUACCUAGAUGGCUGCUUCCUUUCUGAGAUAGGAUGAGGCUUCCACAUUCUUAUACAAGUUAACCGAGGUCAGAAUUGAAACCUCUGAUUUGUUAUCAGGUCUAUUUCACCGUCCUUUGAAUUUUCUGGGAUUCACUUCUGUUUCAUCACUGUCAUUCAAAAUACCUUUUGGAAGAGGCAAAACUUUCUUAGCUGUACUAAGAGGAAGUAAAAGAAGAGUUUGUUUCCACACUUGGAUGCUGGGAUGAUGGUGGCAGCUAUAAGUAGAGUGAUUCCAGCAAAGAAGGUAAAAGGAGGAGCAAAGUUAGGGCUUUUUGUGGGCUUUCUACCCCACUGGAUAUUGUUUCCCUACAGUGAAAACUUUGGAGAUUCUAUAUUUUGUUUUAAAAAAGACUUGUGAAAGACUGGAUUUGUACCCUAAGAUAGCACUGACUGAUAGAAAUGUGAGUUAUAAAGAUUAAGUAUUAUAUAUUAAAUUUAAAUAUACACAUAUCUAUUUAACUUUGAUAGUGGCCACAUUGAAAAAACAAGAGGUGAAAUUAAUUUUCACCAUGUAUUUUCUUUAAAUUAGUAUAUCCAAAAUACCAUCAUUUCAGCAUGUGACACUGGCCACAGUUCAAGGGUUUAAAAGUGGCUAGUGGUGACAGUAUUGGGCAGAACAGUUCUAGAAUGAAAACGACAUGCAUUUUUCUAGGCACAAGCUUCAGCAUAACUAGCGUAUUAUUGAGAAAGGAACACUUUGGAUUCCAGCCCUGGCUCUUACUGUUUGGGUCACCUUAAGAAGUUACUUAACCUUUCUGCACUUUGGAUUUUCUCAUGUGUUAAAUGGAGAAUUAAUUAAUGUCUAGAGAAUUGUUGUGAGGUUUAAAUGAGAUAAUGUAUGCAAAGUUCUGGACACAUAGGCUCUUGAUGAAUCAGUAAUUAUCAGUAUCAUUAGGUUCCACUAGGGAGUUUCAAUGAAAUAUUCAAGUUCUUCCUUAACAAGAGCUGGAUGAGAACUUUUAGUGAGUGUGGAUGAGGCUUUAACUUCUGUUUGGCUUUGGUUUGGUUUUUCUUUGAGGUUGUCUGCAUGCUUUCUGGUGUCCUGUGUCGUUGGCAUUUUGAUUGCUCACUUUCCUCAUCAGAGCCUUGCCUGUUGUUGCCUGGCUGCUGUUCUGAUGUUUCCCCUUCUCGAGUUCUUGACAUCUCUCAUUCAGAAUCCCUGUAAUUAAUCCUGGUUUUAUGCCCAAUUCUAUUUGUGACUCAAGCUCUAGGCCCGAUGCUUGCUUUCUGCUUCUCUGGCACCAACUCUGGUUUAGUUCUUGUUUAGCCCCAGAAAACAAACUAGGGCAGAUAACCUUGCUCACUGAAUGCAUGACCAGUGUGGACUUUUAAAAGAUGUGGGAUGAUUUUCAGUAUUGGUCCCGAAAAUCCUUAUGGGAUCUAAUUUGGUACCCCCUGCAAGUCAAUUUGUGAGAGUGAAAUGUAUCAUGAUAUAACUCAGACAUGCAAAGAGUUAAACACAACUUAGCCUGACCUGGGAACGAUGAGUGUAAAAUAAAUGGUAGGGUUAUUGAUUGCUUAGGGUUUUUGUUGGAUUGGGCCAAUCCCAGUGCCUCUUGGCCUGAAAUGUUGCCCAGAGUCUUGGUGAAAGUGGGAGUAGAGAGUAGAGAAUUGAUGUAAGGAACUUCCUGCUGUUGAGUGAUUCUAAGAGUGCUAGUUAUAAUAAAUUGCUAUGUUUUUUUUGUUAGGCUUUUGUUUUUAAAUGCAAAAAAUCUAAACUCAAAGAAGCUUUCCAAUCCAAUCUUAAAUGAAUGGCCCAGAAAACAUAACAUAAAGUAAAUAAGAUGAUUUGCUUCUGAAAAUUGGGAGGACAAAAAUAUGAAUAAAUUCAACCUUUGUGAACAUCUGUACAUGAUGUAACUCUUCAGCCAUGUGGGAAACUUGGAGGCAAAUUACUUGUCUUAUUUUUGCAAGUCCUGAAGACAAAGCAACAGUCAAGCAUCUGAUCUUUGAAACAAAUGCCUCCUAAAAUAGAGUUGUUCAAAUCCUUGGCAGUGUUAGGGCUGCUGGUUACUGGCUUUGAGGGAACACAGAUGGUUCAGAGUUACACAGGGUGAGCUUCUCAGCAGUGAUGGCAAAGGGGGUACCAAUUAUGACAGGACUGGAUGUUUUUGGCUGUGCUGCCUGGGGUCUUGACUUUCUACCAUUUUUAAGACCCAGUAUAAUUCCUGCCUCUUUUACAUAUCCCCCUUGAAUGUAUUCUAUUUUCUUUGAAUACAUUUCAGUCUAUAGCCUGAACUUGAUGAGAAUUGUGCAUAACCCUGGGAUAGCUCUUUAGUUAUCUUGACCAGCCUAUAAAAAUAUUAAUUAAGUGCUAUUUAAGAUUUCUCAAGGGUAUGUUUUAUUUUUCAUCUCAGUUGGGAACUCCUUGAGGACAAGAGCUGUUAUUUAUAUCACUUUAACCCCCAGUGCUGCCCAGCAGGUGCUUAUCUCUAUGUUUAUCCCAAAGUCAACCUCUGGGGAGAAGGUUGUCCAUUGCCUUGAGAGACAGGCAAGACAGCCUUUCUGCCCCCUGCUCUCAGCUUCUUCAUUUGUUGGUUGUCCUCAGCUACCUAUACUUUGUGGAAGUCAGGAGGAAGUGACCCUUUCCAGCAUUCUUUAGUCAUCGGAGUUGUGUUAGAAAUAUUCAAAUUGUAAUAUCAUUGAAUACAACAGGAGAACCUUUCUCUUCAUGCUGUGGAUUAUAGCCCUAAAUUCCUCGAGUCAUCUAAUUAGUGCAUGCCUUAUGCCCUGAGGGGUUGAAAGAGAAAAGAGUACGGAUGAAUCAGAAUAACCGCCAACUAAAACACACACACACACACACACACACACACACACUCAUUGACACACGGAUACUCAUGACUUCGGAGAACUUGUUUUGCAUAGUAUUGGAAAUUAUUUUCACACUUGAAUUUUUGACAUCUGAGAUUCAUCUUAUAUAUCUCUGCCUUUUCCCAUAACCACUUUUUUUUAAUUUUUAUUUUUAGGGCCACACCUAUGGCAUAUGGAAGUUCCCUGACUAGGGGUUGAAUCGGAGCUACAGCUGCCAGCCUAUGCUGUAGCCACAGUAAUGCUGGUGGGAUCUGAGCUGGGUCUGUGACCUACGCCACAGCUCAUGGCAAUGACAGAUCCUUAACCCACUGAACGAGGCCAGGGAUCCAACCCGCAUCCUCAUGGAUACUAGUCUGGCUAGUUACCACUGAGCCACAAUGGGAACUUCCCCCAUAAUCACUUUUUGAAAUUAUUUGUUAAAUAAAUGUGCUAUCUUUAUACAUUUAAAAGAUAGUAAGUAUAUUGUUCGUUCCUUUCUUUAGCCUAGAAAUAUUUUCCUUAAGUAGAUUCCUCUUAGUGAGUGUUCCAAUCUUUCACUACUCUGUAAGACCCUGCUUAACUCUUCCACUUUGAUUUCCCACAGUUUACUGGGCUUUUUCAUUUAUGGAAAACUAGAAGCCUUUAGAUAUGACCACUCUCAAUUCCCCCACCCCUCCCCCCAUUCUAUAAACAUGUGGUGAGUGGUUUCCAAUCUUUGCUACAUUGGCCACUACUUUUUAAUUCCUUCAGCAUGACUCUCCAUCCCCCACUGGCUACUUAACCCUUACACCCUCCUGGCACUUCUCAUGCCCCUGUGUCUUUGGUGUAGGCACCUUUUCUUUUGCUUUUCCUUAAAUACUGGCCUUUUUCUGGAGUUUGCUCUUCUUCUACAGCUCUGCCAAUGCCAAAGUCUUUGCUGCUUGAUCAUAUCAUGCCUCUCAGUCCUAACUAUCCCCCACCCACAUGUUGUGACUCCCAAAUGUGUAUUUCUAAUCUAGAUGUCUCCCCCUCAAGCCUCCGAAUCUCAUAGAAAAACGUCCUGCUGGUCAGCUUUACCUUACUUCCCCUUGCAGCCUCAGGCACUAUCAGGAUGUGCUAAAAUCGCAUGAUUUUUCUUACACUUGGGUCACUCACCUCCCUUUUUACAGACAAGUGAAUAGAAUCUUGAAAAUGUUGUGACUUCAAGGUUUAAAGUGCUUGGUGCAGUUCACAAAUGUGUGAUUCCUUCUGCGUAGGGCCUUGGAUGCCUUUGUCUCCAGAUUUCCUGAUAGACAAGCAUCCUUCAUUGUGUCUGUGGGAUUGUCAUCUCAGUUGACUCUCUAACAGUGAAAUGCAGACUCCUUCAUGUUUCCUGAAAUUGCACUGUUGGGUCACUCUAGGAUUAAACAUUAUUCUUCAGGCCAGGACAUAAACUGACUUUGGGGGAAAGCUAAUAGCAGUUUGACCUGGAUUUGCAAAGAAUGCCACAUUCUUAUCAUACAAUGAAAUGAAGGGACGGAAAGGAGCAUGAGGUAUUCUCUAGUUCAUUUGUUCAUUCUCAGAUACAGGCAAAAUGAUGCCUGUGCUGCUCAGUAAACAGAUUUUCCCAAACUUACAUGGAACAAAUUCGUGUUCUUUAAUGAUAGUAUAUUGAGUAGACCCUUUUUUGGUAUUGGAUUUUGGGUGUCUGGGCCCAUAGUUCUUGGCAGACUUAAAGUUUAAGGAUGUCCAAUACCCCAUGUCACUGGAUUUGACACUUUUGAAAUUUACAUCCUUUGUAUUUUCCAGAGCCUCCCAGGAAUCCACAUCCUUUCAGUAAGAUUUGCAACAUCUUUAUCACCUGCAGAUGGUGGUGUUCUGCAGUGUAGAACAUAGGUGACUCCUCCAUAUUUCCAAGUUAGCGUUCAGUGUUUAGAAUAGUUACACUUUUCUUGACAACCUGUCAAGGGCCAAUUUCAUAUCUUUGCAGUUUCUCUGAAUCAGGUGGUAUUCUUUCUUUGUUACAAGGAAGAUGAAAAGAGGUGAAGAUAUAUGAUAACAACAUGAUGACUGAACUUGGGCUUUUCCCAUGUAUACAGAUGAAUUGAUAAAACACUGAAAAAGACAGAGCUUUGGGGCCUCUGUGUGCGUGUAUCUUCAUGCCUGAUAGCAAUACAUACAUGUCAAAGGCAUUUUGUUUAGGGACUUAAUAAAAUGCGUAUUUGCCUUUUGGUAAUUUUCAAAAAGCUAUUAUCCCUGUGUGUGAGAAGACAAUCCUAUAUUAUGCUUUGCUUUCAUAACUGAGGACAAUAAGCUGUUUUUCUAAUUAAAAUCUCAUUUUAUACUAAUUUGGUAUGGGGAAAUUUUUCCUAGAGACUUCCACAGUCUUAAAUAUAUGUUAACAGUGAUUCUGCUGACACGGAGAUGCUGGUGAUAUGAAUUCUAUGCAUUUAUUUAGCACAUUUCAGUUUCCACAUUCACUUAUGUAGCAAACUUGAUCCUCAGUGUUAAUGACAUAAUAUCAAGACCAUCUGACAUAUUGAGAAGUUAAGCUAAUGAUUUAUUUUCUUUAAUUUGGAUCAUCAUUGUCAUAGCUAUUUAUAACUCAAAAUUAGUAUCUUGAUGUUCAGGUCAUACUAACGUUGGAUUAUUGAAUUAUGGUUUCAAAAGAACUGACAAUUUAUUGCUCUUUCAUUCAUGGUACUUCUCAUGUCAUUUCAAGUAAUUAGCACACUUAUUAAAAGGCCUGGUAAUGGCUUAGGCUUUUGAACAAUAAUAUAAUUUCUUGCUCUAGGAGAAGAUAAGAGACUACCUUUUUAAGACAGUCAUAAAAUAGUUCUAUUGCUCUGUAGGAAUCUCAUGUACUGCUGAAUUAAGUACAGUAAUUCUCUGUGAAAUGGUAUAAUACUUGUUGGCUAUAUUCCUAGAUUUAACCAAUCGAUUGUUAUGAA